ensembl:lncRNA
UGACUGCACGAUGGCAGACCGACCGUUGGAUCUCAUAGAGGGGGAAGAAGCCGGGGAAGAUUUUACAAGUAAGUAAACCGAUUGUUUGUUCUGUGCUGUUUUCAAGCUGUCGAGGCCGUAAGGGUCGGCCGCUGGCAACGUGGCGCAGUGGUUAAAACGCUGUACUGCAGCUAAAGCUGUGCUCACGACCUGGGGUUCAAAUCCCAGGUAGCCGGCUCAAGGUUGACUCAGCCAGUGACUGCACGAUGGCAGACCGACCGUUGGAUCUCAUAGAGGGGGAAGAAGCCGGGGAAGAUUUUACAAGGAAGAAAAAAUCCAAGUUCCAAACUUUUAAGAACUUCUUUGCCAAGAAGAAGAAGAACAGAGAGCCGUCUGCCCCUGCGGGAGAAAGCAAACUACUAUCUGUAAUGUGCUUAAGCAGUCACAGCAUCAGUCUUGCAGUGAGCGGCAAAAGCUCAACCCUUCUGUUUCUGCUGGACGUUGUAAUAUCUAGUAAGGUAAAGGUAAAGGUUCCCCUUGAUAUUUGGCCCAGCGUUCACUUUCAACUGAUGCGCUGCUUUCCCACGCAACAUGCUUGAAGCGGCUUGCAACCCUGUGAUAGCAACACAAAGUAAAAAAGCAUGUCGGGACACGAUUGGCACAGCAGGAGCUUUUCACGCCUCCCUUAGGUGGCGUCUUAGCUUGCUUUGUGUUGUGAUUGGUUGUCAGGAGGUGAACACAAGCGUCGUUUGCAAGUAUGAUGGCUCACGUUGGCUUACCUGAACCACGUGUCUAGAACAGAUUCCAGCUUUCAAUGAGGCGCUAUCUGUAAUUCUGCCGGACGUUGUAAUAUCUACCAGCCAUCAAAUUCCAGCAGUGUUAAUUUACAGAAGCAGAGCUGAUGUUCAUGUUGGGUCCGUUGGGCCAGAGCAACGCUUUGAAACAUAAGCCCUUACCUUUAACCUGUAAUGAAUGGCUGCAAGUUAACUUGGCCUAGAGCUGAUAUGCACACUCUUUGAGUUAUAGCACCCAGGUUUAUUCAUUUGUUUGUUUUCAUGCCAGGAUUGGCACUUUCUGUAACAUGUCUUUCUGUUUCCCUUUCCUUUCCUUUUCCCCCCCUUUUUCUCCGUUUCUCAGGGAAGAAAAAAUCCAAGUUCCAAACUUUUAAGAACUUCUUUGCCAAGAAGAAGAAGAACAGAGAGCCGUCUGCUCCUGCAAGAGAAAACAAACUGAAGCCGAGCCAGUCCAGUAGCGAUCUCAGUGCCCAGAACCUCAAUUCUGACGUACUCCAUUUGCUGACCGAGCCCGGGUAAGGUAGCGAGCGCACCUCCAUCUUGUACCAACUUGUUAAAAGCAGAAAUCCUCUCACCGAGAGCAACACAUUUCCUUCAAGUGGGUGCACAAACAGAUCCCAGUCCUGCUGCUGGAAUGUCAGGAAUUUCCUUUUCCUCUCGUGCAGCGUGUGUGGUGUGUCUCUUGAAACAGCUAGGGCGGUAAGCCUCCCCCGCCGCUCUACAGAUUGCUUUAGCUUCCAGAAAUGCUGAGACAGGAUUUGACUCCCAGCUCUCUGAAAGCUGCCCAGACAACACUAAUUAGCGU